GCCAGCAUGGUGGAGUGGUUUGAGCAUUGGACUACAACCCCGGAGGCCAGGGUUCAAAUCCCUGUUCAGCCA